CAGGUGCUGCAUGGCUGUCGUCAGCUCGUGUCGUGAGAUGUUGGGUUAAGUCCCGCAACGAGCGCAACCCUUGCCUUUAGUUGCCAGCAGUUCGGCUGGGCACUCUAAAGGGACUGACCGGUGUUAAACCGGAGGAAGGUGGGGAUGACGUCAAGUCCUCAUGGCCUUUAUGACCAGGGCUACACACGUACUACAAUGGCCGGUACAGAGCGCAGCGAGGCCGCGAGGCGGAGCGAAUCGCUUAAAGCCGGUCCCAGUACGGAUUGGAGUCUGCAACCCGACUCCAUGAAGUUGGAAUCGCUAGUAAUCGCGCAUCAGCAUGGCGCGGUGAAUACGUUCCCGGGCCUU
rnacentral:rRNA from 1 species